UACGUAGGGGGCAAGCGUUGUCCGGAAUCAUUGGGCGUAAAGCGCGUGUAGGCGGCUCGGUAAGUCCGCUCUGAAAGUCCAGGGCUCAACCCUGGGAUGCGGGUGGAUACUGCCGGGCUCGAGUCCGGAAGAGGCGAGUGGAAUUCCCGGUGUAGCGGUGAAAUGCGCAGAUAUCGGGAGGAACACCAAUGGCGAAGGCGGGUUGCUGGGCUGAUACUGACGCUGAGGCGCGAAAGCGUGGGGAGCGAACGAGG
rnacentral:rRNA from 1 species